UAGGGAAUCUUCCCGCAAUGGGGCGAAAGCCUUGACGGAGCAAUGCCGCGUGAGUGAUGAAGGUUUUCGGAUCGUAAAGCUCUGUUGCCAGGGAAGAACGCUUGGGAGAGUAACUGCUCUCAAGGUGACGGUACCUGAGAAGAAAGCCCCGGCUAACUACGUG
rnacentral:rRNA from 1 species